rnacentral:sRNA from 1 species
GUCAUGAGAAGUUGUGCAAGGAGGAAGGAGGGAAUGAUGGUGGUCCAUCCUGCUGACCAUGCCAGCUCUGGAAUCGGAGCUCAGGGCCCAAACCUUUGGAUGAUGUUGCAUCAGGCAGGGACCCUGCCGCCAGCCUGUGCUGGCAGGACACAGCAGAGACACAGAGCCUGAAGACAGAAGGCAGCCCUUCCCAGGUGCGUCUCCACGACAGCAUCUCCGAGGAGGGCUUCCACUACCUGGUCUUCGAUCUGGUCACUGGUGGGGAGCUCUUUGAAGACAUUGUGGCGAGAGAGUACUACAGCGAGGCUGAUGCCAGUCACUGCAUCCAGCAGAUCCUGGAGGCUGUUCUCCAUUGUCACCAAAUGGGGGUCGUCCACAGAGACCUCAAGCCGGAGAACCUGCUCCUGGCCAGCAAGUGCAAAGGGGCUGCAGUGAAGCUGGCAGACUUCGGCCUGGCUAUCGAGGUGCAGGGGGACCAGCAGGCAUGGUUUGGGUUCGCUGGCACACCAGGCUACCUGUCCCCUGAGGUCCUUCGUAAAGAGGCGUAUGGCAAGCCCGUGGACAUUUGGGCAUGU